rnacentral:rRNA from 1 species
CCUACGGGAGGCAGCAGUGAGGAAUAUUGGUCAAUGGACGAGAGUCUGAACCAGCCAAGUAGCGUGAAGGAUGACUGCGCUAUGGGUUGUAAACUUCUUUUAUAUGGGAAUAAAAUGUUCCACGCGUCGGAUCUUGUAUGUACCAUAUGAAUAAGGAUCGGCUAACUCCGUGCCAGCAGCCGCGGUAAUACGGAGGCUCCGAGCGUUAUCCGGAUUUAUUGGGUUUAAAGGGAGCGUAGGUGGAGUGUUAAGUCAGGUGUGAAAGUUUGCGGCUCAACCGUAAAAUUGCAGUUGAAACUGGCAGUCUUGGGGACAGUAGAGGUGGGCGGAAGUCGGGGUGUAGCGGUGAA